ACUGAGACUUAAAACUUUCUGUUCCUCGGGUGGGUUGCUUAAUAGACACAUCUGUUAACUCUCUUUAAAAACUGCUCUUCUACACAGGCAGCCUUUACCUGAGCUCCUGCAAUCUGCCCAUAAGGAAAGGGCUCCCUUUCUGCUGCAGAACUGGGAAAUUAGUUGGGGCACAGUAAAGAAGGAAGCAGUGUAGCCCUGAAGAGACCAGUUUGCUCCAUGUUUUUCUCUGGGCGCCAAAGAAGAGAUGAGAGUGUCUGCCAGAGGCAGUAAAGGAAAAAAAAUUCAACCUACCCUAUCCUAUAUGUGACUUGAGAAGUCAUCUCCAACUGCCUCAGCAAGAAGCUACUACUCAUCUUUCUAUAAAGCCACUGUCCCUACUUAGCUUUUCUUUCACCCACAUGUUUUUCAUGGAUCAGACACACUGCUGUUACUUUUCUUCUUACAAUCUCAGUAACAUUUGAAGAUGACCUGAGAUGGAAGUAAUUUAAUAAAACACAUUAUAGAAUUCAACUGCAGAGCCAGGAGCAAUUAGAAUAAUCUAAUAUUUUCCAUUACAAGACUGUUCUCGGUUACUUAUAGUUUUGCCAACCUUUAAUUUUUGGACUUAGAUUUUCUGUAUCAGGUAUGUGAUUCAGACAGAAAAUAUUUUUAGAAAGUUACAGCUGAGACAAUCCAAACACAUACUUAAAGAAAAAUACAUUUUACAUUAUCCAUGCCAAAAAACCCAAUCAAAACUCCAAAACUCAAUCCAAAAGAAAACCCAAGCUGCUUCACUCAAAUUUCUCCAAGAUGUGGAUGAGAAGACCAGGAAGACAUCUGGGAGGCAAAUUUGGCCAAGCCAUAAACUUCUGGAAAACUGCCUAACUACUAAUAAAACUUUGCACUAAGUAUGUUCAUAAUGUAGUUUUUCUAGUAGGAUAGGCACUGCUGGUGCUCUGUAUUUUCACAGAGUGUGUCUGAUCUGAUUGAAAGUUCAUGGCUUCUCCACAAAGCUAGGAUAAAUUUCAGGCUAUAGAACACUCUUCUAUUCAGGAACAGCAGAAAAAUGAUUAGAGGACAUUUUAACGUUUUGUAUAAGAGAUGCUGGACAGGAACCCACGCUACGGCACAGGGAAACAACACCUGCGAAGACCAUAUUGUGUUACCAUUAAAAUAAGGCAGCCAAGGAAGAGAAGGAGAAGG